rnacentral:RNase_P_RNA from 1 species
GGGGCGAACCGGGCCGCCGCCGCACAGGCCGCGAGGUUUGGGCGGAGGAAAGUCCGGGCUCGAUAGGGCGCGACGCCGGUUAACGACCGGGCGCGCGGCCGGAGACGGCCGCGUGACAGACAGCGCAACAGAAAGCGAACCGCCUGGCGCCGCGAGGCGCUCGGUAAGGGUGAAAAGGUGGGGUAAGAGCCCACCGCGUUCGCGGCAACGCGAACGGCACGGCAAGCCUCGUCGCGAGCAAGGCCGAACAGCGGAGGCGCGGCUCGCGCAUCGGAAGCGCCUUCGGGCGACGACGACGUCGGAGGCUUAGGCCGACGACGAUACUCCGCGGGUAGGCCGCGUAAGCGGGAGCGCGAGCUUCCGCGAAGAUGGAUGGCGGCCGCCGCGCAAGCGGUACAGAACCCGGCUUAUAGGUUCGUCCCUUUU